UGAUGAGCCGUAAUGCCAUUAAUUUGGUGUUGCGAGGAAUCUGGACUGUUACUUUGAAAAAAUUAGAGUGUUUAAAGCAGGCUAACGCUUGAAUACAUUAGCAUGGAAUAAUGAAAUAGGACGUUCGAUCUUAUUUUGUUGGUUUCUGAGAUUGACGUAAUGAUUAAUAGGGAUAGUUGGGGGCAUUAGUAUUCAAUUGUCAGAGGUGAAAUUCUUGGAUUUAUUGAGGACUAACUACUGCGAAAGCAUUUGCCAAGGAUGUUUUCAUUAAUCAAGGACGAAAGUUAGGGGAUCGAAGACGAUCAGAUACCGUCGUAGUCUUAACCAUAAACUAUGCCGACUAGGGAUCGGACGAUGUUAUUUUUUGACUCGUUCGGCGCCUUACGGGAAAC
rnacentral:rRNA from 2 species